rnacentral:lncRNA from 1 species
AGAUUUGGCAAAGAAAAGAAAACCUGGGAAUGCAUUGUCACUGUAAAUGGAAAAACGUGACACAAAGCGGACCUGUCUUCUUUCUGGUUGGUUCAUCUUUGAUAUGGCCGUACUGGUUGGAGUACUCGUUAUUGAAAUUGGGAGCCAGAAACAGAGCGGAACAGGAUCAGAAUGGAAGUUAUCACUGGAUAAGGUGUACCAAAACUUGGUGAUGAAUGGUGUUUCGACCACAGAGCAUUCAGAACAAUCCUAUCAAGCAUAUGAUAAUGAUACUGGGAACGACCAUCCAGAUCAGCAGUUUCUCAAUCUG